AUUGAACGCUGGCGGCAGGCUUAACACAUGCAAGUCGAACGAUGAAACUCUAGCUUGCUAGAGAAGAUUAGUGGCGGACGGGUGAGUAACAUUUAGGAAUCUGCCUAGUUGUGGGGAAUAGCUCGGGGAAACUCGAAUUAAUACCGCAUACGACCUACGGGUGAAAGGGGGCGCAAGCUCUUGCUAUUAGAUGAGCCUAAAUCAGAUUAGCUAGUUGGUGGGGUAAAGGCCCACCAAGGCGACGAUCUGUAACUGGUCUGAGAGGAUGAUCAGUCACACCGGAACUGAGACACGGUCCGGACUCCUACGGGAGGCAGCAGUGGGGAAUAUUGGACAAUGGGGGCAACCCUGAUCCAGCCAUGCCGCGUGUGUGAAGAAGGCCUUUUGGUUGUAAAGCACUUUAAGCAGGGAGGAGAGGCUAAUGGUUAAUACCCAUUAGAUUAGACGUUACCUGCAGAAUAAGCACCGGCUAACUCUGUGCCAGCAGCCGCGGUAAUACAGAGGGUGCGAGCGUUAAUCGGAAUUACUGGGCGUAAAGCGAGUGUAGGUGGCUCAUUAAGUCACAUGUGAAAUCCCCGGGCUUAACCUGGGAACUGCAUGUGAUACUGGUGGUGCUAGAAUAUGUGAGAGGGAAGUAGAAUUCCAGGUGUAGCGGUGAAAUGCGUAGAGAUCUGGAGGAAUACCGAUGGCGAAGGCAGCUUCCUGGCAUAAUAUUGACACUGAGAUUCGAAAGCGUGGGUAGCAAACAGGAUUAGAUACCCUGGUAGUCCACGCCGUAAACGAUGUCUACUAGCCGUUGGGGUCCUUGAGACUUUAGUGGCGCAGUUAACGCGAUAAGUAGACCGCCUGGGGAGUACGGCCGCAAGGUUAAAACUCAAAUGAAUUGACGGGGGCCCGCACAAGCGGUGGAGCAUGUGGUUUAAUUCGAUGCAACGCGAAGAACCUUACCUGGUCUUGACAUAGUGAGAAUCUCUCAGAGAUGAGAGAGUGCCUUCGGGAACUCACAUACAGGUGCUGCAUGGCUGUCGUCAGCUCGUGUCGUGAGAUGUUGGGUUAAGUCCCGCAACGAGCGCAACCCUUUUCCUUAUUUGCCAGCGGGUUAAGCCGGGAACUUUAAGGAUACUGCCAGUGACAAACUGGAGGAAGGCGGGGACGACGUCAAGUCAUCAUGGCCCUUACGACCAGGGCUACACACGUGCUACAAUGGUAGGUACAGAGGGUUGCUACACAGCGAUGUGAUGCUAAUCUCAAAAAGCCUAUCGUAGUCCGGAUUGGAGUCUGCAACUCGACUCCAUGAAGUCGGAAUCGCUAGUAAUCGCGGAUCAGAAUGCCGCGGUGAAUACGUUCCCGGGCCU
rnacentral:rRNA from 1 species